UGGGUUGUGGCUCAGUGGUAGAGCACUUGCCUAGCACAUUUGAGGCACUGGGUUCAAUCCUCAGCACCACAU
rfam:Ictidomys tridecemlineatus contig076759, whole genome shotgun sequence.